UUUUAUAAUAUGUAGCACACUGUAUCUAAAGACAUAUGUAUUGUAUUUGUCUUAAUGGAAGUGCCUCCCGCAGCAGAAACACUAUUAAUUGUGACAUUUUAAAAGCGUUUGCUGCAGAAGUGGUUUCUUCUUCAGUAGGAAAUGGUUAGACUUGCCUCAGUUCUGGACACGUUUCUGAAGACAGUAGGCUGUAGAGCAAGUAUUAGGUUUUAAAUUUUAUAAUGUUCCCCAUUUAAUCACAUUUGCUAGUAAAAAAUCCAGAUUUUUACGAGAGCAGUCUGGGUCUUUAUUUUGUAUAAGUUCAUUUUAACUCAUCAGUUGACCUACACAGAAAUUAAAAGACCAUCCAUUUUUAGUUGUAGGCUGUUUUGUUGUUGGCAUUAUCUUUUAGGUAUGAAAUCAUAGCUAAGGUAAACUGUAGGCAAGAGAGUCUUCCUUAAAACAGGGAUAAUAUUCAGGUUAUUAUAAAUAUUUAAGCUUGAAACAUAAAGCUACUGUAGGAUGAAAAAAUCUCUGUAGGACUUUCUGGGGCUUCGGUACCAUUUACUCCCACAAUGAAGGGCUUAUGUAGGAGAAAAUAAUGGAAAAUAAACAUUAGUUUAAGGAAAGUAAAAGCUGCACUAAAAUUUUUAAGAGGAAAACUAGUAGCCAUUUAUUUGUGACAUUGCAUUAGUCCAAUUUUAGAAGGUGGCUUUUAAAGUGGGGCUCUCCAGCUCAUGCACUCUGGCUCUCUCCCCCAUUUCCGUUCCCUUCCUAUCUUCCCUCUUCCUCUCUUCUUCCCUCCCCCCUCCCCAUCUCUUACACGCACGCACACACACACACACAUGACAUUAAGAUUUAAUAGAAGAAAUACAAGCAUGUUAGGAAGUUGUCUCGUGUUUUAUUAUUUGCUUGCUGAGAUUGGAGUGUUAGAAGGAAAAUAGAGGAUUUUUUUUUAAGUUUCUUCACCACCGCUCCAUGUACAUACUGAAAUUCUACUGAAGAAUUCAUUAUUUUUUAAUGCUUUUCACCAUGGUAUCCUUUAGUAUUCAGCUUCCCUCCUCAGUUUGCUGACUAACUCCUUUGCUUCUCUGAAUGUAGUAAUACAGUUCUAUCAUGGAUCAAAACACCAAGCAGGAAAGAGAUAACGUUAAAAGCCCAGCAAAAAAGCAUUUCUUCACUUGAGGUCUGAAGCCUCAGAUCUUUCUAUCUCUGAUAACACAAAGGGGAUGAUAUUAGUACUUGAAGAGAGGAGCAUUUUAUUACAUGCUUGACUUAUUUAUUGUGAUGGACACAGUUGCAAAAGAAGCAAAGCACUCAGGAUUUGUUUUAAAGUGUUUCUCUGUGGCUCCCAUUUUGUUUUAUGAAUAGUAUUUAUGAAUCUCAUGUUAACACAAAACUAGUAGGCAGCUCCAUUUAAGUGAGUUUCAAGGUAAUUUUCAAAGAGAUGUUAAAGUUAACCCUGAGUUUUAAAAGAUUACAUGAAAACAUUCACUGUACUCUCCUGACUAGCCAAGCUUUUCUUUUACCUUAAUUCAAAAAGAAAUUAGAAGACUACAAUCUGAAUAUUUAAUAAAUAUGAUAGAAGGGUUAAUUUAAUAAGGGUCCAUUGUUCAACAGAUUUGAAAGUAGGGUAUUAACAUAUUCUAAUAAAUCAAUGGUGCUAGAGUUGGCUCAGAGGUUUAUCUAUGGAUAUGUCCUAGUUACUGGCAUAUGUGUGUGUUUGCUGUUAAUUUGAUUUAAUGAUUUGUUAGUUUUUUUUCUUGAUAAUAGUUAUUUCUUCACUGUACAUUGAGAUACAGCACUACUGCACACCAAAGUAUGUAAUACCCAAAGGAAACUGUGUGAUUUCUUCUAACAAAUGAUGGGAGCCUUUCUCAGUGAGAUACUCUGAAAAGGAGACUUUGAGGCCAUUCUAAUCCCUUGUUUACAUUGUUAGCUUCCUACUAAUAUAAAAAUAAUGGAAAUCUUUUUUUGAUAAAAAAAAAAAAAGUCUAGAGACUGGAGGAUUUUUACCCCCUGCCCCCUGUACAGUAUUGCAGCAAACUCUUUAAAUUUGGCUGAAUUCGUCCAGCAAACUUUUUGGGGUUCAUAUAUUGCACUAAAUUUGUUGAACCUGUGGUAGGCACAUCUCUUAGGAUAAAUGCAACCAGUACAGUCCACAGAUUAAAAUUUUUAAAUGUGUUUCAUUAUGAAAAGACAAAAUAUCAUCAAAGUGACAGAUGAAAUUGUCUUAUGUAGCAAUGUGCACUGAUCUCAAUGAGAUAUUUCUAUUUCUUAUUCUCUUACACGAGAAUAUUACAGCAGGAAGAGUUAAGUUUAGUUUGCUUCACCAUGUUAAUACAUGACCACAAAAUGUGCAUGAGUGUUCUUGACUUAUCUUGUACAGUACUAGGUAAUCCUGUAACCACUUUUUUUCCCCUCUUGGCUGUAUUGAAACUGGCUCUGUGUUAACCAGGUGAGCAUAGUUAUUCACAGGUUAUUUUGCUUUUUUAAUGUUUACUAAUUCUGCUUAGUUGUUGAAUAUGUUCUUUUCUUGGGAUUUCUUUCAUUGUUUUGACGUUUAAAACAUUUUUGCAUACUGUUUUAUCAUGAUAAGACUUCAUGAAGUAAAUAAUUUUGCAUAUAAUUGCAAUAAGCACUGACUUUUGAACUGAGAAAGAAGGAGCGUGGUUUGUGCAGUGCAUCUGAAGUUCAGAUAACAGUCUUGUACUACAGUGUGCUUACUACACCAGAGGUGACAAAAGCAAGCCCUGUUGUGUGUUUCCUUUAGUGCAGAGUCAGACCCUGGUGCUUUGUUGUCUGUUGUACCUGCUGAGAUUACAGUAGUUGAGCAUCGCACAGUAGCAUUUCAGUUCUCUUUUUUUAUUAAAAGUGCUCAAAUUGUUUUUUAAAUGUUUUCAAAAACAAUUAAAAACAUUUUAUAUU
rnacentral:lncRNA from 1 species